rnacentral:rRNA from 1 species
AACGAACGUUAGCGGCGCGCUUAACACAUGCAAGUCGUGCGAGAAAGGGAGCAAUCCCCGGUAAAGCGGCGCACGGGUGAGUAACACGUAGGUAACGUGCCCCCAGGUGGUGGAUAACCUUCCGAAAGGAGGGCUAAUACAGCAUAAGACCACGGCUCCGAAAGGGGCUGAGGUCAAAGUCGGCCUCUAUUCAUAAGCUGACGCCAGGGGAUCGGCCUGCGGCCCAUCAGGUAGUUGGUAGGGUAACGGCCUACCAAGCCGAAGACGGGUAGCUGGUCUGAGAGGAUGAUCAGCCACACUGGAACUGAGACACGGUCCAGACUCCUACGGGAGGCAGCAGUGGGGAAUUUUGGACAAUGGGCGCAAGCCUGAUCCAGCCAUGCCGCGUGCGGGAAGAAGGCCUCGGUUGUAACG